GUGGGGAAUAUUGGACAAUGGGCGAAAGCCUGAUCCAGCCAUGCCGCGUGUGUGAAGAAGGUCUUCGGAUUGUAAAGCACUUUAAGUUGGGAGGAAGGGCAGUAAGUUAAUACCUUGCUGUUUUGACGUUACAGACAGAAUAAGCACCGGCUAACUUCGUGCCAGCAGCCGCGGUAAUACGAAGGGUGCAAGCGUUAAUCGGAAUUACUGGGCGUAAAGCGCGCGUAGGUGGUUUUGUAAGUUGGAGGUGAAAUCCCCGGGCUCAACCUGGGAACUGCCUACAAAACUGCAUGACUAGAGUACGGUAGAGGGUAGUGGAAUUUCCUGUGUAGCGGUGAAAUGCGUAGAUAUAGGAAGGAACACCAGUGGCGAAGGCGACUACCUGGACUGAUACUGACACUGAGGUGCGAAAGCGUGGGGAGCAAACAGGAUUAGAAACCCGUGUAGUCC
rnacentral:rRNA from 1 species